GGGGAAUAUUGCACAAUGGGCGCAAGCCUGGUGCAGCCAUGCCGCGUGUAUGAAGAAGGCCUUCGGGUUGUAAAGUACUUUCAGCGAGGAGGAAGGUGUUGUGGUUAAUAACCGCAGCAAUUGACGUUACUCGCAGAAGAAGCACCGGCUAACUCC
rnacentral:rRNA from 1 species